rnacentral:lncRNA from 1 species
AUGGAAAGGAAGCAUGAUUAGCAGCCUGAAGUAGCAUGACAGUGGAAAAAGAGGCAAGAAAAAUCUUAUGCAUUAUUAAGGAAGCAAGCAGAAGAACAGCAAACAGUUUGGAAACAAAAGAAACAAAGGUUUCAACAUGCCCUGUCAACUUCACCAAGUGAUCGUUGCUCGGUUUGCAGAUGAUCAGCUCAUCAUCGAUUUUGAUAAUUUUGUACGGUGUUUGGUUCGGCUGGAAACACUAUUCAAGAUCUUUAAGCAGCUGGAUCCCGAAAAUACUGGAACGAUAGAGCUUGACCUUAUUUCUUGGCUCUGUUUUUCAGUACUUUGAAGUCAUAAUUCAUCUACCUGAAGACUUCUCAUGGGGAAAAAAAAAAUCAGCCAAGGACUACCAGACAAAAAUCUUGUACCUGUACCUUGAAAUUAUGGGAACAUUUACUUAAACUGAUGAUUAUAGCUGAAAAAUACUAUUUGAGAUAGCAAAAACUUUCACAUAUCAAAGUAAAAGAUUUGCAUAUCAUUAUUCUACAGGCAAGUGAGUCACUUAACCCUUGGUAAGCUAAAGGAAGGCUUUAAACUUGUAAAUAGUAUACACUUUUUACUUUUACACACUCUCCUCUUAAUAGCAAUAUUAAAUCAAUAUUAAAUCAGGAGGAAAUGCAGCUGAGCAAACAUAAGUCAAUCUCAAAGGCCACAAGGCCCUUGCUGGAAAUAUUUAAAGCAACUUCAAGUUUUAAAAUGCAGCUGUGGUAUCUACCAAACAGUGCCCAGAACCUGCCAUUUCCCUAGAGCAAAUCAGAAAUAGGAUGCAUCAUGAAGUCAUAUUUACUCUCAUGGCAUCUAAAGACUCUAGUAGAAAAAGCUUACCUCCAUCAUUUGGGUUAAACAAGAAACAGGUUUUAUAUAAUAUUGAUUGGUAACAGGGAGUCGUUCUUAAACUCAAGUCCUUGAGCAUAUUUGGCUUUAAUUAAGGAGUUAGUCUUCUAAAUACUGAAGGGAUUCUACUCGUGACCAUCUGAAGCAGUGUGCCAAAACCAAACAUCCAGUUUGCAAACUGUUAACGAUAAAGGACAAAACAAGCCGUUGGCCGCCUCGAAACUUUAUGUACUUCAUUGCUACUAGUAUGUGCAUCGGGUUAGGGAGGACACUGCUGAGCAGCUCUUGUAGAAAUGAUGCAAGCUGGUUUCCUGGCUUUGGCCUUGGGAAAAUGUUAGCAACAUUCUAAAAAUAUUGCCUCUGUUGCAUUAUCACCUUCCAAAUGUCCUGUUAAAUAAAGAGUUGCCCCAUGCAAAAAAAAAAAAAAAAAGAUUUGAGACCAUUCUGAAUAAA